rnacentral:rRNA from 1 species
ACCAGUACCGUGAGGGAAAGGCGAAAAGAACCCCGGGAGGGGAGUGAAAUAGAACAUGAAACCUUAAGCUUACAAGCAGUAGGAGGACGACUUAUCGUUUGACUGCGUGCCUGUUGAAGAAUGAGCCGGCGACUUAUAGUUAGUGGCAGGUUAAGGUAGAGAAUACUGGAGCCACAGUGAAAGCGAGCUUUAAUAGAGCGUGUGUCACUAGUUAUAGACCCGAACCCGGAUGAUCUAACCAUGGCCAGGAUGAAGCCUAGGUAAUACUAUGUGGAGGUCCGAACCGACUGAUGUUGAAAAAUCAGCGGAUGAGUUGUGGUUAGGGGUGAAAUACCAAUCGAAUUCGGAGCUAGCUGGUUCUCCCCGAAAUGUGUUUAGGCGCAGCGGUUAAUAUUAUAGCUUAGAGGUAAAGCACUGUUUCGGUGCGGGCUGGUAAUUCGGUACCAAAUCGAGGCAAACUCUGAAUACUAAGUGAACAGUUAACCAGUAAGACUGUGGGGGAUAAGCUUCAUAGUCAAGAGGGAAACAGCCCAGAUCACCAGUUAAGGCCCCUAAAUAAUUAUUAAGUGGUAAAGGAGGUGGGAAGACUCAGACAGCCAGGAGGUUUGCUUAGAAGCAGCAAUCCUUUAAAAAGUGCGUAAUAGCUUACUAGUCGAGCAACUCUGCGCCGAAAAUGAACGGGACUUAAGCAUGAAGCCGAAACUCCAGACUAGACACAAAUGAUUGUGUCUAUUGGUAGGGGAGCGUUGGACGAGCGGUUGAAGCCAGAGGGUAACUACUGGUGGACGUGGUCCAAGUGAUUAUGCCGGGAUGAGUAGCGAGAAAGAAGGUGAGAAUCCUUCUCGCCGUAAGCCUAAGGUUUCCUGGGCAAGGCAAUUCCGCCCAGGGUUAGUCGGUCCCUAAGGCGAGGGUGAAAGCCGUAGUCGAUGGGAAGCGGGUUAAUAUUCCUGCACCACUGUUAGCGUUGAAAGAGGAGUGACGGCGGGUAGAAGUUCAUCAAGCUGUUAGACGCUUGUUCCUGAUUUGGGGUGGCGGAUAGGAAAAUCCGUUCGCAUAAUCUCCGAUGAGGGUGGUAACUGAGUGGAAGUCCGUCCAAGAAAACCUUCGCUGGAGCAAAACAGUGACCGUACCAAAUCUGACACAGGAGGGCGAGGCGAAUAGCCUCAGGCGCUCGAGAGAACCAUACGUGAAGGAACUAGGCAAAUUAGCCCCGUAAGUUAGCGAUAAGGGGCGCCCGGAGCGAUCCGGGCCGCAGGAAAAUGGUGGCUGCGACUGUUUACUAAAAACACAGGACUCUGCUAAGUCG